AGGGCGGAAGGAAGACGAGGCGAGGCAAGCGCCAAGCUUCCAUCCGGACUUCAAGGCCAGUGGCUGGGUCUGGUUUUCUCAACACGGCCUCCUAGUCUCCUUCCCGCUUGGGCAUCUGUUUUUCUUAUAUAGACCCUGAAGCCGCCCGUGAUGUUCUGUAAGCAGGUUCCGCUUCAGAAUCAGAGGUACUUAAGAGGGAACCUGGAUGCUAGACCUGCCCUUGCUGCUGGCCUCAGUUUCUUUACCUGUAAAACAGGGAUUUUGGAACUGUUAAAUUAAAUCAAACUUAAAAGAAUUACAACUUAAAGCUGCUGGAACUUUACAUGAUCCCGAGCCUUGAGAGGAAUGUGGCUAUGCAGCCUGAGUCAUGUGGCAUGCAGAUGCAACCUCUGCCUUUUUCCGCUGUAAAUAAUUAAGAAGACCAAGUAGCAUCCAAGAUGUUGAUCCUUUAUAUAUCAAACUUGGAGCACAAGUGCGGCAACUCAACCUGCUGACAGGAUUAAACAAGAAUACCUGAGGCCAGGUGCGGUGGCUCAUGACUGUAAUCCCAGCACUUUGGGAGGCCAAGGUGGGUGGAUCACUUGAGGUCAGGAGUUCGAGACCAGCCUGACCAGUAUGAUGAAACCCCAUCUCAACUAAAAAGACAAAAAUUAGCCAAGUGUGGUGGCACACACCUAUAGACCCAGCUACUUGGGAGGCUCAGCCAGGAGAAUCGCUUGAACCUGGGAGGUGGAGGUUGCAGUGCACCGAGAUCAUCCCAUUGCACUCCAGCCUGGGCGACAGAGAGAGACCCUGCCUCAAAGAAAAAAAAAAAGAAUAUCUGUCCUAACCCACCAAUCCCAUUUCUUUUGCUCUCUUGAAGGAAAAGGGUCCAGGAACUGUUGGCAAUUUUUAUCCAAAGUAACUGACACAAAGACAAAAAUACUUUAUCAAAACAAGAGAGACUACAGACUAUUUAUUAAUGCCCUGGAAAACUGGGCAUCUUUUGAAAUGAUGUGGUGUAUCUGAAACCCAAAUUCUGAAAUUAAGUUCCUUGGAUACACCAAAAGCAGGGCAAUGACAUUUAUUGGUGUCUUUUGUGUGUCAGUUAACAAAAAUGCUUUACAUAUGUUGAAUAAUUUUAAGCCCUCAAAACAAAACUAUCUUCACUUUUAUGGGUCUAGAAAAGGAAGCUCUAAAAUUGAGGUCAUACCUACAAAGUACCAUGACUAACGUGGUUGUGGCUGGAACACCAUUCUGGAUCUAUCUACAGGUUCUUAGGGGAGGCAAUCAUCUGUUUAUCAAUAGCUGGGCUGUCUUAUAGUGAGUAAAAUAGCUAAAAAAAAAAAAAAAAAA
rnacentral:lncRNA from 1 species